UACGUAGGGGGCAAGCGUUGUUCGGAAUUACUGGGCGUAAAGGGCGCGUAGGCGGCACAGCAAGUCGGGAGUGAAAGCCCGGGGCUCAACCCCGGAAUGGCUUUCGAAACUGCUGAGCUAGAGUACAGAAGGGGCAACCGGAAUUCCCAGUGUAGCGGUGAAAUGCGUAGAUAUUGGGAAGAACACCUGAGGCGAAGGCGGGUUGCUGGGCUGAUACUGACGCUGAGGCGCGAAAGCCAGGGAGCAAACGGG
rnacentral:rRNA from 1 species